ACCAUUUUGUCAAUGUUAUCAGUAGGGCUCUCUCGGGUUUGAGCAGGGACAGCCCAGGCCAUCUUCUCAGCAAUGGCCGUUUCAGCCUUCUGCAGCACCGAAUUAAACAAGUUGAUGCAGUAGGUGUCCUUGUCUGAUGGAUUUAUGAAGACAAUCCGCGAUGUCGGGCUUUUAUAGGUUUUGGAGUCAUUUGCGGCGUAAUGGAACGCCAAAUGACCUCAUAUUUUUUGAGACAUUUCAGCCACGCCACAACACCUGACAGUCCUGCGAAGGUAUCGCCUCAAGACAGCAGGAGCAGGUGGAAACGCGCAGCACCUUGUUAUCCCCGCAGCCGCCCCAUGUCAUGCCAGCUGAUCCCCCUCUUUGUGGACUUCGAGGAGAUUGGCUGGAUCAUUUCUCCACGGGGUUACAAUGCUUACCACUGCAAGGGCUCCUGUCCGUUCCCACUCUGAAAGAGUUUCCAUGCCACGAAUCAUGCGACUGUGCAGUCCGUCAUGCACGCUCUAAAGCUCUACAACGACGAGGAUAACGUGGUUCUGAAACAGUAUGACGAUAUGGUUUCAUUUCGAAUAGCUUUCAGAAAUCUUGCUUGAAUUGAAAAUAUUAACAGUAUGUCCAGUGAUUCAUGUAUAAAUUGAUGUUUUUGUAAGAAAUAAAAGUUGGUUGUUGCAAUUGA